CAAGCAGCAACUUCUUCACAGUUGGCCUACAAAUGCUUUCUAAAGAUCAAAAAUCCCCUGUGUUCUGAAAAUGGAAGAGAAAAUAUGCUUCUUUUGGGGGCUAUUUGAUAUUCUGCUAAUGCUUCGGAGAUGGAUGACACCAGAGAAGCGUUCUCAUCUCAGGACACAGUGCUUGGUGUUGCACCCAGAUUGAAUUAAAUGGUGCAAUGGAUGGGUGAAUAGGAGAGGAACUCAACCUGUCUCUGAAAACAGUUUUCUGCUUGCCUUGGUGCUGACACCUCUACUGCUCAGAUAUCAUUGAUAACAGAUUUUGACUACUUCUCUCCUUCUUGGACCAGUGUUGUGCGAUUUUUAUCAUUCACACUUGCAGAAAUAGUAUCACAGAAAGUUUCCAAAUCGUGUUUCCUAACAAGACACUUGAAGUAUCAAUCUCUGCAUCACCAUUAAUAAAAACAAAACAAAAUGAAAGGAUGUCUUUUUAUGCAUAAAGAACUGACCAUUAA